CUACGGGAUGCACCAGUGAGGAAUAUUGCACAAUGGGGGGAACCCGGAUGCAGCAACGCCGCGUGGGGGAUGACGCAUUUCGGUGUGUAAACUCCUUUUAUAUGUCAAGAAAAUGACGGUAGCAUAUGAAUAAGCACCGGCUAACUCCGUGCCAGCAGCCGCGGUAAUACGGAGGGUGCAAGCGUUACUCGGAAUCACUGGGCGUAAAGGACGCGUAGGCGGGUUGGAAAGUCAGGUGUGAAAUCCUACAGCUUAACUGUAGAACUGCACUUGAAACUUCUAAUCUAGAGUAUGGGAGGGGGAGAUGGAAUUAGUGGUGUAGGGGUAAAAUCCGUAGAUAUCACUAGGAAUACCUAAAGCGAAGGCGAUCUCCUGGAACAUUACUGACGCUAAGGCGUGAAAGCGUGGGGAGCAAACAGGAUUAGAUACCCUUGUAGUC
rnacentral:rRNA from 1 species